GAUGAACGCUGGCGGCGUGCUUAACACAUGCAAGUCGAACGGUGAAGCCAAGCUUGCUUGGUGGAUCAGUGGCGAACGGGUGAGUAACACGUGAGCAACCUGCCCUGGACUCUGGGAUAAGCGCUGGAAACGGCGUCUAAUACUGGAUAUGAGCCUCUUCCGCAUGGUGGGGGUUGGAAAGAUUUUUUGGUCUGGGAUGGGCUCGCGGCCUAUCAGCUUGUUGGUGAGGUAAUGGCUCACCAAGGCGUCGACGGGUAGCCGGCCUGAGAGGGUGACCGGCCACACUGGGACUGAGACACGGCCCAGACUCCUACGGGAGGCAGCAGUGGGGAAUAUUGCACAAUGGGCGAAAGCCUGAUGCAGCAACGCCGCGUGAGGGAUGACGGCCUUCGGGUUGUAAACCUCUUUUAGCAGGGAAGAAGCGAAAGUGACGGUACCUGCAGAAAAAGCGCCGGCCAACUACGUG
rnacentral:rRNA from 1 species